rnacentral:rRNA from 1 species
GACGAACGCUGGCGGCGCGCCUAACACAUGCAAGUCGAACGAGCGAGAGAGAGCUUGCUUUCUCGAGCGAGUGGCGAACGGGUGAGUAACGCGUGAGGAACCUGCCUCAAAGAGGGGGACAACAGUUGGAAACGACUGCUAAUACCGCAUAAGCCCACGACCCGGCAUCGGGUAGAGGGAAAAGGAGCAAUCCGCUUUGAGAUGGCCUCGCUUCCGAUUUGCUAGUUGGUGAGGUAACGGCCCACCAAGGCGACGAUCGGUAGCCGGACUGAGAGGUUGAACGGCCACAUUGGGACUGAGACACGGCCCAGACUCCUACGGGAGGCAGCAGUGGGGAAUAUUGCACAAUGGGGGAAACCCUGAUGCAGCGACGCCGCGUGGAGGAAGAAGGUCUUCGGAUUGUAAACUCCUGUUGUUGAGGAAGAUAAUGACGGUACUCAACAAGGAAGUGACGGCUAACUACGUG